AGGAUGAACGCUGGCGGCGUGCCUAACACAUGCAAGUCGAACGUCCUGUCUCGCAAGAGGCAGGGAGUGGCGGACGGGUGAGUACCACGUGGGUCAUCUACCGUGAGGUGAGGAAUACCGGCGAGAAAUCGCCGACAAGACCGCAUAGGCUCGAUGCAAGUCGAGCAAAGCUCUUUCGAGAGAGGGAGCGCCACACGAGGAGCCUGCGCCCGAUUAGCUAGCUGGUGGAGUAACGGUUCACCAGGGCGACGAUCGGUAGCUGGUCUGAGAGGACGAUCAGCCACACUGGGAUUGAGAACGGCCCAGACUCCUACGGGGGGCAGCAGUGAGGAAUUUUCGUCAAUGGGGGCAACCCUGAACGAGCAACGCCGCGUGCAGGAAGAAGGUUUUCGGAUCGUAAACUGCUUUUCUCGGGGUAAGAGAAUGGACGGUACCCGAGGAAUCGAGCCCCGGCUAACUACGUGCCAGCAGCCGCGGU
rnacentral:rRNA from 1 species